ACCUGGCUGGCUCAGUCGGUAGAGCAUGAGACUUUGGAUCUCAGGACUGUAGGUUUGAACCCCACGUUGGGCA